rnacentral:rRNA from 1 species
AGUGAACGCUGGCGGUAGGCCUAACACAUGCAAGUCGAACGGCAGCACAGUAAGAGCUUGCUCUUACGGGUGGCGAGUGGCGGACGGGUGAGGAAUACAUCGGAAUCUACUUUUUCGUGGGGGAUAACGUAGGGAAACUUACGCUAAUACCGCAUACGACCUACGGGUGAAAGCAGGGGAUCUUCGGACCUUGCGCGAUUGAAUGAGCCGAUGUCGGAUUAGCUAGUUGGCGGGGUAAAGGCCCACCAAGGCGACGAUCCGUAGCUGGUCUGAGAGGAUGAUCAGGCACACUGGAACUGAGACACGGUCCAGACUCCUACGGGAGGCAGCAGUGGGGAAUAUUGGACAAUGGGCGCAAGCCUGAUCCGGCCAUACCGCGUGGGUGAAGAAGGCCUUCGGGUUGUAAAGCCCUUUUGUUGGGAAAGAAAAGCAGCAGGUUAAUACCCCGCUGUUCUGACGGUACCCAAAGAAUAAGCACCGGCUAACUUCGUG